UUGAAAGUGACUGUGAAGAUCUGAAACUCUCAAGGAAACACAGAGAAAUAGAUUACCAGCCACUCCAAAAGGUCGCCGCAACCCCGAGGUAAUCCUGAACUGGACCAGCGAACCAGGCACCAUUCUAAAUGAUGUAUUCCAGCCAAUCAUCUUGCAGAAAAAACAAGACAAAACUCACAGAAAUGGCAUUCAUAGAAACCAAAUUUUGAAAAAUGGAAAUAGUGAUAUUUGAGGGACCAGGAUAUAUAAAAUCUUACGAAGACAACUUAGGAGGUUUUCUGAAGGAAGAACUAGGAAGAUAUAUGCAGAGCGCUGGGCUUUGGAGGGAAACCACUGUAUAAUCAAAAACAACAAGCCUGCCCAACAAGCAGCUGCAGG
rnacentral:lncRNA from 10 species